GUCUACAGCUCUGCCACCCUGAACAUGCCCAAUCUCGUCUGAUCUCGGAAGCUAAGCAGGGUCUGGCCUGGUUAGUACUUGGAUGGGAGACCACCUAGGAAUACCAGGUGCUGUAUGCU
rnacentral:rRNA from 1 species